AGUGAACGCUGGCGGUAGGCCUAACACAUGCAAGUCGAACGGCAGCACAGUAAGAGCUUGCUCUUACGGGUGGCGAGUGGCGGACGGGUGAGGAAUACAUCGGAAUCUACUUUUUCGUGGGGGAUAACGUAGGGAAACUUACGCUAAUACCGCAUACGACCUACGGGUGAAAGCAGGGGAUCUUCGGACCUUGCGCGAUUGAAUGAGCCGAUGUCGGAUUAGCUAGUUGGCGGGGUAAAGGCCCACCAAGGCGACGAUCCGUAGCUGGUCUGAGAGGAUGAUCAGCCACACUGGAACUGAGACACGGUCCAGACCCCUACGGGAGGCAGCAGUGGGGAAUAUUGGACAAUGGGCGCAAGCCUGAUCCAGCCAUACCGCGUGGGUGAAGAAGGCCUUCGGGUUGUAAAGCCCUUUUGUUGGGAAAGAAAAGCAGCAGGUUAAUACCCCGCUGUUUUGACGGUACCCAAAGAAUAAGCACCGGCUAACUUCGUG
rnacentral:rRNA from 1 species